UACAGAGGGGGCAAGCGUUGUUCGGAAUUACUGGGCGUAAAGGGCGCGUAGGCGGCCUUCUAAGUCAUGCGUGAAAUCCCUGGGCUCAACCCAGGAACUGCGUCUGAUACUGGAAGGCUUGAAUCCGGGAGAGGGAUGUGGAAUUCCAGGUGUAGCGGUGAAAUGCGUAGAUAUCUGGAGGAACACCGGUGGCGAAGGCGGCAUCCUGGACCGGUAUUGACGCUGAGGCGCGAAAGCCAGGGGAGCAAACGGGG
rnacentral:rRNA from 1 species